rnacentral:piRNA from 1 species
UUGAUGAUUGGCCAAACCCUUGG